rnacentral:rRNA from 1 species
UCGUCAGCUCGUGUCGUGAGAUGUUGGGUUAAGUCCCGCAACGAGCGCAACCCCUAUUGUUAGUUGCUACCAUUUAGUUGAGCACUCUAGCGAGACUGCCCGGGUUAACCGGGAGGAAGGUGGGGAUGACGUCAAAUCAUCAUGCCCCUUAUGUCUAGGGCUACACACGUGCUACAAUGGCUGGUACAGAGAGAUGCAAUACCGUGAGGUGGAGCCAAACUUCAAAACCAGUCUCAGUUCGGAUUGUAGGCUGAAACUCGCCUACAUGAAGCUGGAGUUGCUAGUAAUCGCGAAUCAGAAUGUCGCGGUGAAUACGUUCCCGGGCCUUGUACACACCGCCCGUCACACCAUGAGAGUUGGCAAUACCCAAAGUUCGUGAGCUAACCGUAAGGAGGCAGCGACCUAAGGUAGGGUCAGCGAUUGGGGUGAAGUCGUAACAAGGUAACCAAGGGCG